UGUGAGUGCAACCCCGCUUUUCUCGGUUGGAGGUCGGACUAUCUUUUCUGGACUCCGUUUUCUUGCUUGAAGGGUAUAAUUUAUUAAACAUCAAAUUGGAAAAUGGCAAAUUCAACAUGGCAGGUUCUAAGUUAUGCUUCCAGCUGGAGUUUUCAUGGAUGGAUGUCGUCACAAGUGGAUAAGUCUAUGGGGCAGUUCAACAGGCGUCCGCAACAGCUGAAUUCAGUGGUGGCAACCGUUUUGAAAGUUUGGCUCAAGUUUUCGAGAUAUUUCGAAAAUAAAAUCUUAGGUCGGGACUAUUAAAAUACUGAUAAUUUCGAAUAAUUAAGUUUUUUUAAGCAGUUUUUAGUUUAGAGAAAAGCUAUUCCUGUAUAUAGCUAUAUGUUUAACACUAUUCCAACCUAGAUUGUGAUGUUUCGGUCGCUUACAAACAUUUUAUAAACAAAAACUUCACUUU